AUUGAACGCUGGCGGAAUGCUUUACACAUGCAAGUCGAACGGUAGAGGGGGCAACCCCUCGAGAGUGGCGAACGGGUGAGUAAUAUAUCGGAACGUGCCCAGUCGUGGGGGAUAACGUAGCGAAAGUUACGCUAAUACCGCAUACGAUCUACGGAUGAAAGCGGGGGACUCGCAAGAGCCUCGCGCGAUUGGAGCGGCCGAUGUCAGAUUAGGUAGUUGGUGAGGUAAAGGCUCACCAAGCCAACGAUCUGUAGCUGGUCUGAGAGGACGACCAGCCACACUGGAACUGAGACACGGUCCAGACUCCUACGGGAGGCAGCAGUGGGGGAAUUUUGGACAAUGGACGCAAGUCUGAUCCAGCCAUUCCGCGUGCAGGAUGAAGGCCCUCGGGUUGUAAACUGCUUUUGUACGGAACGAAAAGGUUUCUCUUAAUACGAGGAGCUCAUGACGGUACCGUAAGAAUAAGCACCGGCUAACUACGUG
rnacentral:rRNA from 1 species